AUUCCAUCAAAAGUAGAUAUGCAUUAACAAGAAUGCAGAUGAGCAAAAACUUUCAUCCUUCUGUUGUGAUUGUGAUGGUAUAGCAUACCGAUGAUUAUGAGUCUGUGACCGAGUGGAACUUGUUUGCAUGCGCUAACACGCUGCACAUGGGUAUACGUGCAUGCUUAACUAGGCGCUUACAUACACGAAAGGCAGUGUAUAGAAAGGUCGUCGCUCUAGAUUGAACUUUAUGGUCGGCAGUCUUUAAUGUGCUUGCUUUUCUUUUCCUUUCAUCGUUCUUGUCCCCUAUUUGCAUUUUUCAUGGUAUGAUUUUAUCAGUAUCUGAAUCAAAAUCUUCUAUUGUUCCACUGAAAAUUCUCCGAGGACAUACAAGUACAAAUGCAAGAGAUUAGUGCCUUGAUUUUCCAUCUUGUUCUUCUUGAUGGUAUGCAUUCUGGAAUCAGGGAGAAAUACCAAAAAGCGCAUUGCAAUAUUAGUUGGCCAAGCACAGAUGUUGGUUCAGAAAUCUGCAUCCGUUCCAGAGAGUGCGUUCAGCUCAAGGCCGGGCAGUCUCCUCGUCUGCUUUCGGUUCUACCCCAAUGAUUUCGGGAAAGUUUUCCAUUAAACGACCCUCGAUCCCCAUCUUGGCAGUCCUUACCGACGUUGGACAGGAGCCACAGCUCCUUGUAGCUUCAAGCUGACAACACUGCCAUCAAUGUCAUGCAUUGCCGCAUUACCACCAUCAGCUAUGAGAUAUGGUCAGAAUUUAUCCAACACAACCUAACACUUUCUGAAGUUAAGGGCAACUCCACAGCAGAAUUAGGGGACCCAACUGCCUUAACAGUAAACAACAGCAAAAUAGCAAAAAUAGUGAACUAGGAGAUUUCAAAAAAAAGUACCAAUUAAUCUCGGUACCAAAAAAGAAGAAGUAAAGAUCCAAAGACGCAUUUGUAAAAUUUUACAAAUAAAUGAGAUCGUUCUACUGUCUAA